CUAGAUGCACUGGGAUAAAGUAUCAUACACUGGUCUGCUGGAGGCUGGGCUGAUGGGGAGGAAGCACAGUCUAAGGAAUGAGCACUGCAUCAGGACACAGCUAGGUGGACCCAAUAUUUCAGUGACAGUUUCUGGCGACCACGAAGGGACUCUCCUAGCUCGGACAUUGGACUCCGGACGGCUGCAGCGAACUGGGAACGGCGCCAACGGGGUGUUUUGCCCCUUUUCUCUGCUUCACUGAGGCCCCUGGGGUUCGUGUUCUGAUAAGGUUUCUUUUCUCACAGAUAAAAGAAGUGCUAUCCAAAGACCCUAACAGCCCUGCCGUUCAUUGAAACAAGGAGACUGAGUCUAUGUAAAGUUCCACCAACGAAAGACUGCUUUGGCUCCAGGCUCGA